GAUGAACGCUAGCGACAGGCUUAACACAUGCAAGUCGGGGGGCAGCACGGGAGUAGCAAUACGACUGGUGGCGACCGGCGCACGGGUGAGUAACGCGUAUGCAACCUACCUAUCAGAGGGGAAUAACCCGGCGAAAGUCGGACUAAUACCGCAUAAAACAGGGGCACCGCAUGGUGAUAUUUGUUAAAGAAAUUCGCUGAUAGAUGGGCAUGCGUUCCAUUAGGUAGUUGGUGAGGUAACGGCUCACCAAGCCGACGAUGGAUAGGGGAACUGAGAGGUUGGUCCCCCACACUGGUACUGAGACACGGACCAGGCUCCUACGGGAGGCAGCAGUGAGGAAUAUUGGUCAAUGGGCGGGAGCCUGAACCAGCCAAGUCGCGUGAAGGAAGAAGGAUCUAUGGUUCGUAAACUUCUUUUGCAGGGGAAUAAAGUGCAGGACGUGUCCUGUUUUGUAUGUACCCUGAGAAUAAGGAUCGGCUAACUCCGUGCCAGCCGCCGCAGUAACAC
rnacentral:rRNA from 1 species